CGAGUGGGCGGCGCUGCCGAGGACGCCCAGGACCCCCGCGCGGGCGGGCGGCAAGCAGGAGUCAGGAUUUAAAGGGACAGCCCCGGCCGAGGCGACGGGCCAGGCGGCCGCGGUUUCUCCGGUCUCCAGACGCCCUCUGCGGCCCGGCUGGACCUGCUCACACCGGAGCGCUAGUCCGAAACUGCAGGGUGUCUUUAGGCGCACAACCGGCCCGGGGCAGCCGAGCUGCAGAGCUCGGCUCAUUCGCUCGGUGCACGAUUUUUACAGAGUCCGAUUAGGAUGGGAAAUUAAACUACUCGACAAGUUUUCCCACCCAAAAGCAGGGAGCAAAGAGGAGUGAGAAGUUUCUCUAUUGCUCCAGGAAUUUUAUCGAGCGCCCCAAGACGCCUCGCAGAUAUUAGUGAACGUAAAUUUGCAGCACCCCAGAGCGCUCAAAUCCCUGAGAGCAAGCUCGCCUUAUAGGACACUUGGGUGAGGCCCCCCAAAAUCUUCUCGGGCUGAAGCCCCCAGUACCGUGUACCCUGCUUCCCGCAAAACUGUAACUCCGAAGGCGCCAUCCCGAAACAACCAAGGGGCGGGUCCUGAGAGGUCUUGGCUCCUCCCCUUCUCCAGGUCCCGCCCUCGCGGCUACAGUGUGUAAGUGUGGACGAGCUUUUCUGAACAGGCUCUUAGACUGAAGGGUCCGGGGAGGUACCAGCACUCAAGUGCUGUCUAGCAAAGGUGUCGUUGAGGCAUGGAUUAUAGACCCCAACAGGCCAAAACACUCAGCUUUGGUUCCAACUUUUGUGCUACCCAGAUAGGAUUUCUUGGCUUCUCCAUCUGAGGCUGUAUUGCCCAGCUGCUGACUGGUCAUUUCUUGGGGCUCCUUUCUUAGGCUCAAGAAAGUUUACUUAUCUCAAACUCCUGAGCGGCAAGAGACGCCCAAUAGUGGCGCAAAAGAGAAUCGCCACUACCUUGUCUCAAAUCUGGCCACCCAUAUCAACAGAAGGCAGAAGCCUUGGGAAGCUGCCAUAGCCCUCUAGUGCUGCAAACACUCUAUGAUAUCCUCUAGGGAAUUCCUGCAGGUUUGCUUGGUGAUUCUUCCUAGCCAUUGAGAUCUUCUUCUUCUUCUUCUUCUUCUUCUUCUUCUUCUUCUUCUUCUUCUUCUUCUUCUUCUUCUUCUUCUCCUCCUCCUCCUCCUCCUCCUCCUCCUUCUUCUUCUUCUUCAUCAUCAUUUCAGUAAUUCACAUACUAAAUGUAUACAGAGACAUUAUAUUGUGUGUGUGUGUGUGAGAGAGAGAGAGAGAGAGAGAGAGAGAAUGGAAAACACACCUGAAAGUGACUAGAAAAAAAAAAACAAGAACGAACAAUGAGGGCAUCUAGAACCCAGGGCUUGGGUACAGUUAUACGGCACUAAUGAGCCGAUGAGUCCUGGCUCUUCCUACUCAGGAAUUGCUCCAACUCAAGUUUGGACAACCAUAUCCAAAUUAUACAAAGGCCCAUGGAAGUCUAGAGAAAUCUACUGGAGAAAUGAAUAGAUUUUCUAAGCUCAGGAUGUCAGUUUCCAAGUUACUGGAUCUUCCAGAGUGACAAAAGUAAAAUAAUAAUACUCCUUUCUUUAAGUAGCCCCAGAAACCACUGCCCUCCCAACUAGGAAGCUGUUGGUUGUGUGUCGCCUUGCUAAACUAGGUUGUCUGUGUGGCUUCCUUUCAUUUAAUAGGUCUUCAGCAAUGUGGACUAUUGCUGAGCCAGCUAAAUGCUGCCUUCUGUGCCAUAAAUCUGGCUAUGCCCCUGCCAAGUGUGUGUGUGUGUGUGUGUGUGUGUGUGUGGGUGCCCCUGCCAAGUGUGUGGGUGGGUGCCCUUGCCAAGUGUGGGGGGUGCCUUCAGGAACUACCUGGAAGUUCAGCCCCGAGAUGGCAAGAACUGGCGUUCUGGGAAAUAGGGCAGUAAGGGAAAAGGGUGUCCUAUUUAGAAAAGUAAAUGGUUCUGAAUUGCGAAGUUUCUCCCCCCCCUUUCUGUGGUGCAGAGUAAAUGAUUCACAGCUAAACAGCUUGCUAUGCCAAGAGCUAGGGACCAGCCAUUCAUUAUGCUCUCAACAGUAAGCCUCAAGGUGACUGCACCUUAGUACUGAAGGCAAAACCUCUCAGAAUGCACACACAGUUACGAUGGCAAUACUCUGCGGCACUGGAGGUUAGCAAGUAUUCUAGAGGAAGCUCCGGAAUGUCCAGCUCCCUCACACCUAACAGGACUUCAUGAAAAGAGAAAUUGAAUAAGCAAGAUGGAAUCCAGGACCUUGUGCAUAGCUGGGCAAGAACACAAAAUGUCAUUUUUAGAAACCGGAAGUGAGUGUGGUCACAUACGAUGACAGGAUCCAGUGAACUUUGUGAAGUCUAUUUGUAGUUCACUUGCUUGUAUAUACAUGCAACAGCCAACUCCACUUUGCCAUAAUUAAUCAGACUCCACAUCAGACCCUGCCACUUAUCAGCUAACCUAGGAAAGUUCAUCAUUCAACUGCUUGGAGCUUCCACGAGCAAACCUAUAAAAGAGGAAUAAUAAUGGGACCCUUUCUGUUUCGUGGAGAUGCUGGGGUGACCAGGUGAGACAAGAUGUGGGCAAGAUUUGCCCCAAGGAUCACAUUUACAAAGAGGUGACUGUGUGGAGUUCUCUGUGAUCAGUCAGUGUUAGUGUAAUAGAGUGCAAAGAGAUGUCAGAGAAUUGGGCUUAAUAGUUACCUAUUUCUCAAAGAUAUUAAAAGACUCUCUUGGAAAGGGAAAGAAUUAACAUUUAUGGAACUACUUCCAGAAUUUGAUCUCAUAAAAGGUAUUUCUGUUAUAGGACCCUCAUGACAACUGUAUAUAAUACAUUUUGUUGUGACCAUUGUA